rnacentral:rRNA from 1 species
UACGUAGGGACCAAGCGUUGUUCGGAUUUACUGGGCGUAAGGGCGCGUAGGCGGCAACUCAAGUCAGCUGUGAAAUCUCCGGGCUUAACUCGGAACGGUCGGCUGAUACUGUUUUGCUAGAGUGCAGAAGGGGCAAUCGGAAUUCUUGGUGUAGCGGUGAAAUGCGUAGAUAUCAAGAGGAACACCUGAGGUGAAGACGGGUUGCUGGGCUGACACUGACGCUGAUGCGCGAAAGCCAGGGGAGCAAACGGG